AUUAAUUGGCCAAAUGAAUGUGAAGACAGGAUUUGAUUCCCCUUUGGGCCUUGACCUCACUCCAGAGCACUGAACACUGGCCCUCAUACAGUGAUGGAUGCCGUCUGCUGACAAGGUUGUUGCAUUACAUGUUUCUGAAAUGUUUUGCAGUCUUUCUAGACUGGAGGAUUCAGUAAGUAAUGUGCCAUUUGAAGACAACUAAUUAAAUUUCUCAUUUUAUGUCCUCACAUCCACUUUUGCUAUCUAGAAAACAAAUAGAAAAUCUCAAUCCUUAAAAACAUCACUUUAGAACCACUGUUGCAGAAAAUUUGAAAGACAUGCACUUGUUUAAAAAGUGUAACAGCUUUAUUGAGACAGUUGGGGCCCUAAAACUCCGUUUACUACAGUAUGAUUGACCAAGUCCAAAUUAAUUUCACUUUACCCCUGAAAAGACAAAAAAGGUGGGGCUCAGAUUUAAAAAAAA